GUGGGGAUAGCUCAGUUGGGAGAGCGUCAGAUUGAAGAUCUGAAGGUCACGUAUUCGAUCCACGUUCACCGCU
rfam:Ipomoea nil DNA, scaffold: scaffold0209, cultivar: Tokyo-kokei standard.